rfam:TPA: Bos taurus chromosome 5, whole genome shotgun sequence.
UCCCGCAUAGCUCAGUUGGUAAAGUAUCCGCCUACAACGUGGGAGACCUGGGUUUAGUCCCUAGUUCGGGAA